rnacentral:pre_miRNA from 1 species
AAGGCAAUUGCUGGUUUAUAUGGUAAGGUUAUAUUCAGUUUUAUAAGAAACUGCCAAAUUGUUUUCCAAAAUGGAUGUACCAUUUUGCAUUUCCACCAGCAAU